GUAGUUUGAUCGUGGCUCAGAUUGAACGCUGGCGGCAUGCCUUACACAUGCAAGUCGAACGGCAGCAUGAUCUAGCUUGCUAGAUUGAUGGCGAGUGGCGAACGGGUGAGUAAUACAUCGGGAACGUGCCCUGUAGUGGGGAUAACUAGUCGAAAGAUUAGCUAAUACCGCAUACGACCUGAGGGUGAAAGUGGGGGACCGCAAGGCCUCAUGCUAUAGGAGCGGCCGAUGUCUGAUUAGCUAGUUGGUGGGGUAAAGGCCCGACCAAGGCGACGAUCCAGUAGCUGGUCUGAGAGGACGAUCAGCCACACUGGGACUGAGACACGGCCCAGACUCCUACGGGAGGCAGCAGUGGGGAA
rnacentral:rRNA from 1 species